UUAAAGAGAAGCCUGGGCCGGCCCACCAGAUAAUGAGAGACUAGCAGGCCAGCUGUCCCUGUUGAGCCAGCUUGCCAGCAGCCAGACAUGUAAGUGAGGCCAUCCGAGGUCAUCCAGGCAUUGACAAACUCACCAGUCGAUUGCAGAGAUGAGCUGUGCUGGUCCAGGCCAGAAGAACUGUCCAGCAGACCCAGAGAGUCAUGAGCCACAGAAGUGGUUAUUGUUUAGGUCAUUAAGAUUUGGAUUGUUUGUGGGAGGGUGUCCUGCAGUUGUCCUGUUCUUGCCUCACUAAAGAAUGUUAAGAAUGGAUGGACGGGGGCCAGAACUUGUUUUUAGGUCAUCGUUCUCUGGAUCAGGAAGAGCCACAGCUCCAAAUCCUCAGUCACAUCUAGACCUGAUUUGGAUCCUGGGACUUCAAGCUUGAUGCCUUAAUUAGAUGGGACUUCUGGGCAUCCUGGGAUGGGGUGAGCAUAUUUUCAUGUCAUGUCAGGUAAGUGUAAUUUGUGGUCAGAGGGGAAGACCGUUGUAGACCACCGAACUGGCUACAAGUGCUUCCUGUCAUCAUAUUCAUGCCUCUCUGCUACGCGACAUUGUAGCUCCUCUCACUGAGAGGUAGAGCCAUUUCUCCACCCACUGAAUCUGGGGGUGGUCAUGUGAUUUAGCUUGGCCAAUGGGACAUUUGGGAAUGGAACACAAAUAGGGACUUACAGUGCUUGCUUGUGGGGGCUGGCCCCGCCUCACUGCUCUUGGAACCCAGUUACUCUCUGAAGAAGCCUGGGCUAGCCUGCUGGAGGAGGAUAUGCCACGCGGAGCAGAGCUGCACCGUCCCUCCGAGGCCUCUGUGGAGCAGCCGUCCCCGGGCCAACCUGGUAGCUACUGCAGAUGUCUGACUUUAACAAGAAGUCAGCAGGCUGCAACCCGGGAAAGGGUUCUCACCAGAAACCCAACCACGCUGGCACCCCGAUCUUAGGUCAUUAAAUUUUGGAUUGUUUGAACAUGCACUGGUUCCUAGAAUAGAGUCCAAUACUCACCUCAGACUGGUUCCAGCAGGCAGCCUGGCAUCCAAAAUGUGAGGCCGUGCACGUGAGGCAGAACUCCAGGAGGGCAAAGGGGAGGAGACCACCAGAAAUCGC